CUUGUAAUCACCUUUCGAAUGAGGUAUAAGGUUUAUCUAUAAUUAGGGUCUAAAGGGUCGCCGCACUCCAUUCCAUUAUUCAAAAUAUCCAUUUCAUUAUUCAAAAUUGGCUAUUUCUUAAUUUUCACGCGUAUUUCGGCAUUUAGGUCUUCAAAUAUUCGUUGCGGAGCAUGUUGACUAUAUACAUUUUGUUCGUCUUGUAAUCAGCUUUCGAAUGAGGUAUAAGAUUU
rnacentral:lncRNA from 1 species